AACGAACGCUGGCGGCAGGCCUAACACAUGCAAGUCGAACGCGCGUAGCAAUACGCGAGUGGCGCACGGGUGAGUAACACGUGGGAACCAACCCAGAGGUUCGGAAUAACCGCGGGAAACUGCGGCUAAUACCGGAUAUCCCCUACGGGGGAAAGGAUUUAUCGCCUCUGGACGGGCCCGCGUCCGAUUAGCUAGUUGGUGAGGUAAUGGCUCACCAAGGCGACGAUCGGUAGCUGGUCUGAGAGGACGACCAGCCACACUGGAACUGAGACACGGUCCAGACUCCUACGGGAGGCAGCAGUGGGGAAUAUUGGGCAAUGGAGGCAACUCUGACCCAGCCAUGCCGCGUGGGUGACGAAGGUCUUCGGAUUGUAAAGCCC
rnacentral:rRNA from 1 species